rnacentral:rRNA from 1 species
GAUGAACGCUGGCGGCGUGCCUAAUACAUGCAAGUCGAGCGAACAGACUAGUAGCUUGCUCCUCUGACGUUAGCGGCGGACGGGUGAGUAACACGUGGAUAACCUACCUAUAAGACUGGGAUAACUUCGGGAAACCGGAGCUAAUACCGGAUAAUAUAUUUAACCGCAUGGUUCAAUAGUGAAAGACGGUUUUGCUGUCACUUAUAGAUGGAUCCGCGCCGCAUUAGCUAGUUGGUAAGGUAACGGCUUACCAAGGCGACGAUGCGUAGCCGACCUGAGAGGGUGAUCGGCCACACUGGAACUGAGACACGGUCCAGACUCCUACGGGAGGCAGCAGUAGGGAAUCUUCCGCAAUGGGCGAAAGCCUGACGGAGCAACGCCGCGUGAGUGAUGAAGGUCUUCGGAUCGUAAAACUCUGUUAUUAGGGAAGAACAAAUGUGUAAGUAACUAUGCACGUCUUGACGGUACCUAAUCAGAAAGCCACGGCUAACUACGUG